rnacentral:misc_RNA from 1 species
CGCCGCUCUCUCUCUCUUUACGUACAUAUAUAUGUAAUGCUUUCUGUUGAGCGCGCGUAGACAGAGACGCUGUCAUGCUUGUCUCCUCGCUUCGUUGGCAGUGCCGCUUUCCUUCCGCGCUCCUGUCACGGACAAACACCUGCUGUGACGACGUGUGCAGCCCGACGCAGCAGAGCGAUGUUCCCUCAGCGAUCGCGACGCGCCUCUCUCCGGCUUCGUGAAACCGGCUCUCUUCUCCGCUGCUUCGCUUGCUUCGUUCGUCUCUGUCCCUUUGCUGCGCCGCACACCGGAACACAGAGGGCUAAGCGCGCUGAGACGGCCCCUCCAGCGCCCUCAAGCCUCCACCCGUGCGCACGCGGAUCUUGCACUUUUACUUGCCAGCGCGUGCCUUUAUAUCGACAUGGAUGCUUACGUUAGCAUAUUAAGCGUUAGCGGCAUGUUGGUCUUCCUUGUUCCUAUGCUCCCGGGUGACGGGCGCCUUAGUCGACUCAUCCCCCAAUCCCCCUCUGAGCUCUCGUUUUGGGCGUGCGUGUGCUGGUCCUUUCUCUUCCCUCUAAGCGUGUCUUCUUUCGUCUGCGCAUGGCUGGCUGUUUGUCUGUCGGCUUCAGCGUCUCUUGGUGUGCUAGGUGCCUGCCCAGCAUGGCGCAGCAGAGGGCGGCGUUAUGAUCGAAUAUUUUGUGCGCGGGCGCAGCCUCUACGAGGUUUUGGCGUGUUUGUGCGGUUGUGAUCCUCUCUCUCUGUGCCGUGCCUCGCUGACCCUUCACCCAUUUCUUUGACCAAGAACGUGCACCCGCACAGUCUUCCGGCUCCUCUCUCAGCUUGCUUUCUCGUUGGGUCUCGCACUCGUAUACGAGUGCCUUCCUCAUCGCGUCUCCUCCUCUUUCCACGGCUUGCUCGCCGUCUUCGUCUGUCUUUCGGUGGUGUUCCUCCGAAAGCCUUACAGGUGGGCAGCAUGGCUGCCCCUGUGAGGUCCCACUGUGUUCAGCGAGAGCUGGCAGAGAAGACGGAUCGAGUCGGAAGUGGACCGCGGCAGGGUUCCGUCGCGUCGGGGUGGGGUCAGGGGCGAGGCCUCGCGUUUAUGAGGGCACUGCAUUGAAAGGCAAUGCGCGGCAUGCUGUCGACUCCCUC